rnacentral:rRNA from 1 species
GUUUAGGGGUAAACCUGAGAAACCCGAAAGGUCGAAGGGAGAAAUUCAUUCGCGUUUCGCCGCAGGCGUGGAACGGUCGUGUGACGGAAAGCGUUCGCGUUUUCCGCGCCUUCAGUUCUUCGAUCCGGCAGCGAACGCGUGCACUUUUCUCCUGGUAGGACGUCGCGAUCCGUUGGGUGUCGGUCUACGGCUCGCGGUGGAGCCCGUUCGUCGUAUUYRUACGUACGAGCGGACCCGUGUGUCCCGGCCGACUCGCUCGACGGUAUACGAAAGGUUUAAGGCCGCUCUUGGAGCGUUCGACUCGCGGCAAGCGCGCUAGAUGCGUCGGCCAUCGGACCUGGUGCCGAUUCUGACCUCUGGUGACUGUUGGCUGCGAAGUUCUCGAACAGACCUCAGACCGAUYUGCGACGCUAUAGCUUUGGGUAAUUUCAGGACCCGUCUUGAAACACGGACCAAGGAGUCUAGCAUGUGCGCGAGUCAUUGGGAAUCACUAAACCUAAAGGCGCAAUGAAAGUAAAGGUUCUCCUUGCGAGAACCGAGGGAGGACGGGCAGUUUACCCUUAAAAGUGGCUGCUCCGCACUCCCGGGGCGUCUCAUUCUCAUCGCGAGAAGAGGCGCACCAAGAGCGUACACGCUGGGACCCGAAAGAUGGUGAACUAUGCCUGGUCAGGACGAAGUCAGGGGAAACCCUGAUGGAGGUCCGUAGCGAUUCUGACGUGCAAAUCGAUCGUCGGAACUGGGUAUAGGGGCGAAAGACUAAUCGAACCAUC